UAUAACUGUGUGGUUGUUGUACAA
rnacentral:siRNA from 1 species